rnacentral:rRNA from 1 species
AGAGUUUGAUCAUGGCUCAGAUUGAACGCUGGCGGCAGGCCUAACACAUGCAAGUCGAGCGGUAGCACAAGAGAGCUUGCUCUCUGGGUGACGAGCGGCGGACGGGUGAGUAAUGUCUGGGAAACUGCCUGAUGGAGGGGGAUAACUACUGGAAACGGUAGCUAAUACCGCAUAACGUCUUCGGACCAAAGUGGGGGACCUUCGGGCCUCACGCCAUCAGAUGUGCCCAGAUGGGAUUAGCUAGUAGGUGGGGUAAUGGCUCACCUAGGCGACGAUCCCUAGCUGGUCUGAGAGGAUGACCAGCCACACUGGAACUGAGACACGGUCCAGACUCCUACGGGAGGCAGCAGCGGGGAAUAUUGCACAAUGGGCGCAAGCCUGAUGCAGCCAUGCCGCGUGUGUGAAGAAGGCCUUCGGGUUGUAAAGCACUUUCAGCGAGGAGGAAGGGUAGUGUGUUAAUAGCACAUUGCAUUGACGUUACUCGCAGAAGAAGCACCGGCUAACUCCGUGCCAGCAGCCGCGGUAAUACGGAGGGUGCAAGCGUUAAUCGGAAUUACUGGGCGUAAAGCGCACGCAGGCGGUUUGUUAAGUCAGAUGUGAAAUCCCCGCGCUUAACGUGGGAACUGCAUUUGAAACUGGCAAGCUAGAGUCUUGUAGAGGGGGGUAGAAUUCCAGGUGUAGCGGUGAAAUGCGUAGAGAUCUGGAGGAAUACCGGUGGCGAAGGCGGCCCCCUGGACAAAGACUGACGCUCAGGUGCGAAAGCGUGGGGAGCAAACAGGAUUAGAUACCCCGGUAGU